AUAAUAAAUCUUAAUCCAACAUCGAGGUCGCAAACCCCCCUGCCGAUAAGAACUCUCAAGGGGGAUAACGCUGUUAUCCCUAAGGUAACUUAAUCUUACAAUCAAAAUAAAUGGAUCAAAUAAACAUAAAUAAAUAUAACAACAUAAAGGAGGGGUUAAAUAAAUCCCUCCCAUCACCCCAACGAAACAUACUAAACGGCCCAGCGAACCCUCACAAACAGAAAAGAACCGUAAUAAAUGUUAAACUCUAUAGGGUCUUCUCGUCCCAUAAAAACAUCUAAGAAUUUUAACUCAAAAACCAAAUUCAAUAAACAAUUCAAAAUUAAGACAGCCCAUGCCUCGUCAAGCCAUUCAUACCAGAUCACAAUUAAAGAACUAAUGACUAUGCUACCUUUGCACGGUCAAAAUACCGCGGCCCUUCAACAUCAAAGUCAGCGGGCAGGCCAUACUUCAAAAACUAA
rnacentral:rRNA from 1 species